UUUCAAUGAUAACUAUGGUCACGUCCGCCAUCUUGCGUACGUUAGCUCUGGUAAGGAUGCCGGCCUUCUAGUUCGCAUUUAUCUCUGGUUCGUCUUCAGCCUUUGAGAUCUUUAACCUUGACUUCACUGUGAUUAGAAUUGGUAUCAGAGCCAGGCUGGGCCAUUACCAUCAUUAAAGAGCCUCAGGUUGGAGACUCAAAUCUAAGCUUAAGAUAAAGUUUAGAUUUUGGCGACAAGAGGAGAGAUCACGAAAGCAGAUGGCUGACGUGACUAGGACUCCACGCACAAAGGACUUUGGAUCUGCAUCCAUCCAAUGUCUGAUGUUGACAUCGACAAACUACACAGUCUGGUCGAUGAGGAUGAAGGUUCUACUUCGUGUUCAUGAAGUUUGGGACACAAUCGAACCCGGUUCAGAUGAUCAAAAGAAGAACGACGUUGCGAUAGCUCUUUUGUUUCAAUUUGUUCCCGGGACAUUGAUUCUCAAGGUGAGAGAACAAACCGCAUCAAGAACGCCAUCAAAUCGUGACACCUAGGAGCUGAUCGUGUAAGGGAGGCGAGACUUCAGACGUUGAUGACGGAGAUGAUCGUAGAAAUUUCGAGUGUAACACAUGUGUAGCAGAGAAGCAAACUAGACAUUUGUUCCCGCCUAUUAUACUAUUGAAGAAAAAGCAUGAGGUAUUCGAUCGGUUCAAAGGGUUGAAGGAACCCAUUAAAACCUUUCUCAUCGAUAUAGGGGAGAGUUUAUCUCAGCUAGGUUCAUUCUGCUUUGUGAAGAAAGUGGAUUUGAACCUAUUAUGGCCAAGAUGGAUUCUAUCACAAGAAACAAGACGGGUGAGUGGAUAGAUCGGCUGGUGUUAAACAUAUCGGGGUAUGUGACACAAAGGUGGAAGUGUGUAACACGAUCCACGCAAGGGUAUGUGACACAAAGAUGGAAGCAUGUAACAAAUUUCAAUUUUAUGGAAUAUCUUUCCGUUAUAUCUCUAUUUAUAUGAAAAACAAUUCUCUUUAACAUGUGAGAUAUGAAAAACUCAAACUUAACCUAAAUAGAUUUUUUUUUUUUAGAUUUAAAUUUCUUUGUUAACUUUAUUUUAAAAUAAUAAUAUGUUAAGUUUCCACGAACUUAGAAUUAUCCAAUAUUGAUUAAGAUCUUUACCUCUCUGGCCCACCCUUUUUUGUAUUUUCUCUAUCUAAAAAGCCAUUAUAAAAAUUGAUACUCCAAACCAAACAAAGUUCCGAUGAGCCUAAUUAUCUAUUGCUUAAUGAGCGUCGAAUCAUUGAUUAUAUAUUACUAGGGUCAGUUCGCGUGGGAUAAGAUUUAUGUAUGAUAUAAAAAAAAAUAUAAUUGUAUCUUAUUUUUGAAUGUGUUUUAUAAGCUUUUGUAAGAAAUAUGUAUUAUAAUAUUUAAGGUUUUUAAGAAUGUUGGUGUGUAGAGGUUAUAUGUUAGUAUAUUCUUUAGUUUAUUUUAAGAUUUUAAAAAUCUUACUAAAUUUAGCCGAAUUCUUUAAAAAUUUGAUGUGAAAAUAAUAUUCUAGUUCUUUAACUUCAAAGAUUAAAUAUUCUGAAUUAUAUAAAUAAAUUUUGUGUAAAAUUCACGUAUAACUUUAUCUAAUUUUUACAUAAUUUUAAACGAUCAUUUAUAUAUUAUGAUCAAUACUUUUAGUGUUUAUAUUAGGUAUUGCAUAUCUAUUUGUAUUCUAUGUUUACAAAAUUGUAUAUUUCAUUUAACGUUUGAUUGUUUAUUUUUCUAAUGUGUUUUUGUGUUUUACUUGUUGUCAAAUAUAUUUUGCAACAUUGUACUAUUUUAGUUAUUACCUUCCUUUUAGGUUAUAUCUUUUCAUUUUAAUGAAAACACAUCCUCAUCUGAUCUUUGUAUACAUCUAAAUAAAAUUAACAUUUUUUAUAUUUGUAUUAGUGUUGUUAGGGAUCAUAAUUUGUAUUAGGAAUAAAAAAAAUUUGUUAUUGUAAUUGUUAUAUAGUUUCUUAAAUGUUUGCUCAAAUUUAAUAUAUACAUAUAGCAAAUGGAAUAUAAUUUUUAUUAUUUCGGUUAGGUUUAACACAUACAACAUUGGGUUUAUUUUCUCUUGUGUACAUACUUUUGAAUUUACUGGUAGAUUAGUUCAUUAUAUUCUUUUGGAAUCAAUAAUUUAAAUAAUCCAAAAUGCAAGUACAUAAUUCACUGUUAUAGAGUUUUUCUAAAAGUUUGGUAAAUACAUUGAAAACAAAAUAUUAAUUAUUACUAUUCAGAUAAAGAUAUUACUGGAUUUUAUAUAUUAUUAUAUUUAGAGACUAAAUAAACUUUUUUAUCCAAAUAGUUGAUUAUAUUUAAAUAACAAAAAAAAUUAUUCAUUAUUUUCGAAUAUUGUUUUUUUCAAAUUAACUAUCUCAUAUAGAAUAAAUUUAUAUAUAUUUUGAGAAGCCCAUUAAUCAAUGUUUAUUCAUAAAAUAUGUUUCCUAGAUAAAAAUUAAAAUGAAAAAAAAAACAAUUUACAACUCCUUAAGACAACAUGAUCAAUUAAAAACAAAAAAAAAACUCUCU